AGUAAGGAAUAUUGGACAAUGGGCGCAAGCCUGAUCCAGCCAUGCCGCGUGAAGGAUGAAGGCCCUAUGGGUCGUAAACUUCUUUUAUACGGGACAAAACCCCCCGACGUGUCGGGGGUUGAUGGUACUGUAAGAAUAAGGGUCGGCUAACUUCGUGCCAGCAGCCGCGGUAAUACGAAGGACCCAAGCGUUAUCCGGAUUUAUUGGGUUUAAAGGGUGCGUAGGCGGAUUAGUAAGUCAGUGGUGAAAGCCCAUCGCUCAACGGUGGAACUGCCAUUGAUACUGCUAGUCUUGAGUAUGGUUGAGGUGGGCGGAAUGUGUCAUGUAGCGGUGAAAUGCUUAGAUAUGACACAGAACACCAAUUGCGAAGGCAGCUCGCUAAGCCAUAACUGACGCUGAGGCACGAAAGCGUGGGGAGCAAA
rnacentral:rRNA from 1 species